AAUAAGUGCAGUUUUAUACUAUUCAUAUCCAAUGCUUCAGUGAUUACUAUUUUUGUGUUAUCAGAUGAUAAAACAUGAAUAGUACUUUAUGGGCGACUAAUUUUUUUUAAUUUUUUUAUAAAUUUUUUAAAUAAGACAAACGGUCAAACACUGGACAUGGUUCCCCACAACUUCACUUAUC
rfam:Oryza sativa Japonica Group DNA, chromosome 11, cultivar: Nipponbare, complete sequence.